CGCACCUUGCACCUUUUGGUAUUCCGAAAGGUACAUCUGUUUGAGUGUCAUGAAUACCUCAACGCUCUCAUUUUCAUUUGCAAAUGCGCAGUGUUGGAUGUUGAGUGUUGCUGUAAGACAAGCAACUUGCUACAGCUCGCUUUAAAUGUAUAUGCUUUCUUAGUAUUACUCGGAUUGACUCAACGUGAUAGGAAUUUCGUUGAGGAUGCUUUUACUAGCAGCCGGAUGAUAGCUGAGUAGCUUCAAAUGUGCCUUGUGGGCAACUAUAAUCUUGGACCUCAAAUCAGAUGGGACUACCCGCUGAACUUAA
rnacentral:misc_RNA from 1 species